AUUAGCAGAGCGGCAGAGAUAGUGCCGACCGGGAAGAACUUUGGCGGAACCGUGAAGGACCUCGCUCAUUUUGUAGCUGAUUGUCGUUGGCUUCGAAACGGCGAAGAGCUCAUUGAAGAUAGCCAGCGCAUCUGCCAAUCUAGUUGCAGCCUCCCGAUCGUCCUGUGACUUGGCGUACGCUGCUGCCGUACGGGCGACCGCCUUGGCGGGGUCGAUGAAGAUGCUGCCGCUGCCGCGUAGCUCGUCAACGAGAGCACGGGCAUCAGCGGCCAACUCCUCGGCGACAGACGCGUCCUCACGUGUCGGCAAAACUGGUCCGUUCUUGCUGUCAGAAACCCCCUUCUUUCUCUCUCCACCGGAAAGGCUCGCCGUGGCGGCCAAAUCCUUGCCGCGCGACAGGUCUUGCAGGUUCUUUGAUUUUCUGAAUUUGCUUUCUUGGUCGCCGCCCCCCUCCGAGUUGGAGUCCUUGAGGAGAGGCGUCUCCGACAUUGUUUCUUCGGUUCGAAAGAACCGGUGGUCUCGGUAGAGAUUGGAAUGAUUAGUGUGACGAGGAGGGAGAGGGGAAGGGGAGGGGAGAGCCAGCAGAAGGGUGGGUAUUUAUUUCCGAGAGGAGGUAGGGGAGGGGAAGCAUGGAGGAGGAGGCCGCCGGCCAGGAUUCGGCUGGGGACCGCCGCGGGAGUUGCCGUUGGGGAUUCAGUUAUCAAAAUAACCGUCGAGGGGGAGAGAAGUGGUGGGAGAAGCGGAAGACGGGAAGAGCGGGGUGCGGGGCUGAGCAGCUGGUGUGUUGGGCCAAGGCCCAGCGUCCAUCGGAUUCCGAGGCUUCUUUGCGGAAGAGGGGUGGGGCGGGUAGCGAUUGGAUUUGGAGGAGGCGGCGGCGUGCGGAAGGCGAGGAUGCGGCGGCGGGGGUCAACGGAAGGCCUAAUCAAAGAUGGUCGGGAGACCCGGUUACUAAAAUCUUAUUGGAAAAGGAGCAAUGGAUGAUGGAAUGUUCAAACACACAUCAGGGAGAUAUUGUAGAGAUCCUGAUGACAAAGAAUUCAGUAACCAUAAUCAUGCGCUGGUGCUCCAGCAGACUGUAAAAUUUUAUCAGGACAUUAUGUUGGAUGGGAUGCUAGCUUGUGCGCCACGGCAUCAAGAAGGAAGUUUGGUAGGGGCUCCCCAUUGUGCCUUCUUCCUGGCAGUGUUGGCAUAUUGACCAGUGGGAAGAAUGUCAGAGAUCAAUUGUCGCAGCAGCUGUAACCUGAACUGUUCUCUUAUUCUGUAAAUGAAAUAGUACUUUGCAAAUUCUGAUGAGUCUGAACACUCUACAAGAUCAUUUUAGCCUAGCAUUGUCAGUGCAAGCUCAUUAACAAACAACAGCUCAUAGAGCGUCACCAAGGUUUGGAGGCAUAGAAACUAGCAGACACAUGAACAGACUCCUGCACAAAUAUUUGGGGACAUCAAACGCUUUCAUCAGUCAGAGUUUACAAAGUACUGAUUUGUCAUACACAGACGCAAUCCUGCUUCUGGAUGGCUUUGGAACUCUCUUGUUGGCUGAAACACAGGGUGUUCUUCUGGCUGCUACUGAAUGAUCGGCUCAACACUCUACUUCAGAGAAAAGAAAUGGAUUUGCCAUCUUAUACAUGUGAAUAUGUGAUCCCUGCCUCUGGCAAACAGAAGAGACAAUUGGCAUUGUCACACCUACAGCCUGCAGGCCUCAACUUUGGAAAAACACCAGACAGUGGAUUGGCAGAUGUACAAAGAAGAAGCCAGGAGAGAACAUAUCACCAUCUUAUGAGGCGUUUCAUCCUCAUGCUCACAGCAUUCAUAUUACCCCAUUAAUGUUUGAGAAUACUGCCCACAUGGUACUCGAGGAUAUGCCUAUUGUGGACGAUGCGGCAGUUUGUGCUAAGAAUGUUGCAUUCAGUGCUCUGACAGUGGUGAGGGAUGCUGUGCAUGGGUUGUUCGAUUGAUUGUCCAGCCAAGCGGUGAUUUGGGAUGAAGAAUUGUUGCAUAGCCUUGACCCACAUGACGGUUUUCUGCAGCAAUUAGCUCAAGGUGGAGAGAAUGUAUGCGAUGGUGAGAGGAAGUCAGCUGCUGAUCUGUUUGUCAAUGACACUCAUGGUAGCGGUGCUCCCUUCUCAUGAAUCUUGGCAUUGAUUCCAAUGAAGUGCCUCCUAAGAUGGUGAUAUGGGAUCAGGAAUAUGUGCAAACUAUCAAGAUUGGUUCAGAAAUUAUCAGAAGUGAAAUUUACUCUAUAUUCUCCUGUCCUGAAGCAGGGUUGUUCAGAAAUUAUCAGGCUGAGAAGUUGUUCAAUACCGCAGGGUUGCUGUUGUUUGUGUUGGUUGUGAAUUCAAGUAAAAUGAAAAUGUGCUCACUUUGUUUGGCAUAUAGUUUCAGUACAUUCUCAAGGUCAGUUUAAUCAAUGCAGAAAUCCACCUGGGUGCUUUGUACUUGUGCAAGAGAUGGAAUUCACAAGCAUUCAGUGCUAUAUACAAGCAAUCAGGAAAUAAAUGUUUCUUUGGUGGAGAAGGACCGUGGCCUGGUUUCUCCACUUCUUGAUAUCAAGGAAGUUCUUCAAUUGCCAUUUAAAGUCAGAAAGCUCCUCAUGCAAGCAACAAUUUGCUCAGUACUAUAUUUUCAGAAAGAAAUGUCAAUAGGCUGCCUAUACAAGCUCCCACAUCAACAAGCUUAGUCCAACAGAACAUAUCCAAGUUACAGCUUCAGUCAGUGGUCGCGGAACAUGGUCAGGCAAACACGGAGCUGCCACGGGUGUCAAAGCUCGCCAUGGACUAAGUGCUGAAUUGCCAUUUGUCAGAGAGAUACGCCCAGGAAUUUGCAGACCAUUUGGGGGCGACCGAUUGAAUGGCCUCCGCUAUGGCAAGCAUUUCCAAAAUUAACAUUGGUUGGGAGGCUCUUUUAUUAUAACAAGAACUCCAGAAUUGCCAUUGAUGAUUGGUAGGUUACUGGCUUUAAGUUAUUAUUAGUUUUCAGGGUGGAGGCCACAGGGAAGGCGCUGCUGGAGGCGGACUGGAGGUCCGGCCAGUCGGCCACUCUCCUGCUGUAAGUCGUAUAUGCAGUGGCUGCAGCACUUUCAGCUUUGUGGAAGAACCGGUUCUUUGGUGAUCCCUUUCCCUUGUAACCGCGUUUGAGCUGUAUCUUCUUGUUAAUGUAUAUUUCAGCGUGUCGUGUUUUGUGGAUAAAAGAGUCGAGCAAAUACAAGUCCAUGACUAGGCGCAGGCAUGUGCUGGGUUCUGUAUCUUCUUGUUAAUGUACCGUAUUUCAGCUUGUUCUUUUCUACUGU